AGGCUGGUCUCGAACUCCUGACUUCAGGUGAUCCGCCCGCCUCGGCCUCCCAAAAUGCUGAGAUUACAGGCAUGAGCCACUGCACCCGGCCAGUAAUUUGAUCUUUGAACUGAUGUUUGAGAAGUGAAGCUUGCUGCCUUGAUGGCUGGGAAUUCAGCAAGUGAGUAGAAGGGGCUGAAAGGAAGCGUGCUAUGUCUACAAGUGAGUAAGUAAGAACGCCAACAGCCCCGAGACACCGCACUUUCUGUUUGACCCAGAACUUGCCCUGACUGCAGAAAGAAGGCAAUGACGUUCUAAGAAACUCUAACCACUAAGGAGCCUCAUCCUGACCUCCUACUUCCCUGUAUUAGCCAAGUACACAUGCUGAAGUGAGGAAAGGGAAAGCCAGUGAAACCCACAGUUCCUUCUCCUUUCAGACCUUCCUCACUCAUUAGUACGUACGUCCAGGGUAGCCAGCAAUGGCAGAACAUGAGCGUUAUCAAGCGGUGAAUAAAAGCAGUGAGUUUGUUUUGUACAAUAUCUCCAUUGUUCUCAUAAGAACAAGAUACAUAUGCCUAUACAAGCUGGGAAAUACCAGUUGUGUGAUUGUGGUGAACCCACUUAUGAGUUAAAUGCGCUUAUGUUUGCAUGUAAAAUUGUCACUGCACAAUAUAAGGACGAACUGUAGAACUCAUGCUAAUAACUUGUUUCUUUAUUUUGAAUAACAUUAAAUAGCAAAUUUUAAAAAACAACAUGACAAGAGAAAAAAGGUGAAAGAUUUAUAAUUUAGCACCUCUAAAUUCUGCUUUUUUCUUUCACAUAGUCCCCAAAUUCCGCAGACAAUCUUGCGUUACGCUGUCAAUGCUGUGAGCCAGCAUUCUCCCUGUGAGCAUAAUGGAGGCAAGGCCUGCUUCGCACGCAUGAGACCAAGGCCAUCAUGCGGGGCCCCAGGUUUGGCAGGGACCCCUUGCCCUUUAUUUGGGUUAAUGCUCUGCUGUUGCUGUUUUGAAAUACUGAAUAAAUUUUGAAAACGGAGUCCUACAUUUUACUUGGACUCUGCAAAAUAUGUGGACAGUCCUGGGUGAAAGAAGAACAUUUGCAUUGAAUUAGAAUUGGAGAUCUCAAUAUGAAUGUAUAUUUCCAAUAAUACAACCAUAUAUAGAUAUAGAUACACACACAUACAUAUUAUAGUUAUUGUAUGGUUUUAUUUACGCAUAUGUGAACACACACACAUAUUUAUCCCAACUCUGGCCACUGAAACACCCUAGAAGCAAUGACACCCACUGGCAAUAACACAACUACAACCAGAUCUAGGACCGAGGGCUUGUUAGAGACAUCGACAGUCUUAGAGCUGAGACAGGGAAGGCACAAGAUGAGCCUGGAGUAUUGUACAGGCCUAGAAAUCAACGACGUCCUCAAAGCAGAAGAGGAGAGCAUGCCGAAGGAUACAGGAGCCAGCCUGAAGAUGCUCCUAUGACCCAAAUCUGGGACAAUUUGAGUGUCAAAAUAAAUAAGGACACUAUGGAUUAUAACUCAUUAAAUAUAAUAGGAAUCAAUGAAUCCAUAAAAUAAACAGUCUCAAGCUCAGUGGCUCAUGCCUGUAAUCCCAACAAUUUGAGAGGCCGAGGCAGAAGGAUCACUUGAGCCCAAGAGUUUGAGACCAGCCUGGGCAACAUAGUAAGGCCUUGUCUCUACAAAAAAAUUUAAAAUAACCAGGCGUGGGGCACAAGCCUAUAGACCUAGCUACUCAGGAGGCUAAGGCAGGAGGAUUCCUUGAGCGCAGGAGGUCAAGGCUGCAGUGAGCUAUGAUCAUGCCACUGCACUCCCACCUACGUAACAGAACUAGACCCAGUCUCUAAAAAAUGAUAAUAAUAAAUAGAAAAACAAAAAAAAAAAUGAAGGACAAGAGAAGUCUCCUCCUGACAGCAGAAUCCUGAACAAUAAACACAGAAGGAGGGGGUGGAGCUGGAAAAUUAUGUUUCUGCAAUCAUUAUAGCAAAGAUUGGUUGAGACAAGAAUCAUCAGUGAAAGCUAAACUUAAAAAGAAAUUUGGAUGAGGAGUAGGAUGUCUUCGUGGCACCAGUGUUUCCCCAUAGAUUGCUUAUUAGCUCCAAGGGAGAAAAUAGUAAAUAUACGGUGGAAAAAUUGAACAAUACCUUGGGCAGGUGGUCAAAAUAAUUACCCGCAAGAGGCAGGUGGGGUGACAGGCCUUCAUAGGUGAUACCCCAAGAGACACAACAUGACUUCCAUAAUAUUCUAGCCAGGGAUGUAUAGCCUAAACAUAAUAGUGGAGAAACAUGAGACAAAAUCAAAUUGAGAAACAUUUGAUAAAAUAACUGGCUUGUAUUCUUCAAAAUUGUCAAUAUCAUGAAAAACAAAAAGCUUAAGAAACUAUACCAAAUUAGGUGAGGGGCGGUGGCUCAUGCCUGUAAUCCCAGCACUUUGGGAGGUUGAGGCAGGCAGAUCACAUGAGGCCAGGAGUUUGAGACCAGCCUGGCCAACAUGGUGAAACCCCGCCUCUACUAAAAAUACAAAAAUUAGCCGAGCAUGGUGGCAUGCACCUGUAGUCCCAGCUACUCGGGAGGCUGAGGCAGG
rnacentral:lncRNA from 10 species